GUUGAAGGUUAAUUAGCAGAG
rnacentral:miRNA from 1 species